rnacentral:pre_miRNA from 1 species
UCUUAUAGACGAGCAAAGAAAGUGGUUUCUUAAGAUGGAAUCUACUUCUGUUGAAGAUGCAAUGAA